UGGCUGCAGCAUUCAGGUGUGCAGGAGCGGUGGGGAAGCCACGAACGAGAGAGCUGCAGGUCUGUUUUCAGCUAUUUUCGCUAUUUUAAUUGUAAUACUUGUUUUAAACUCACCGGUUUAAAUGUUAACUCUUAGGAGCCCCUUAUCGUAGCCAAAUCAGAGACGGACGACGGAGUGAGAGAGUAGAUGCAAAUCGUGGAACUGAUGUCAGUAAACUCCUCAUCCUCCAAUGACUCCCUUUUUCAUUUAAACUUUCCCUCCAUCCACUACGACAUCCCGCUAUACAUAUAUUGUCUCAGCACCACACCAAGCUCCUUCAUCUACAUCACGUAUCGUAUCACCA
ensembl:lncRNA